GAGGCAUAGAGGCAAAAGGAUGAAAAAUGCACUCUGCGUGUCAGAAAAGGAAAUCCUGAGAGCAAGCGUCAGCGUCAGGGUUCCCUCAAUGAGUCUGGCAGACACACAGACCACAGAGGUUAAGUGGAGCUCAGGAGGAGAGUCCAGCUGUGAUGAAAGACAGAUCACAUAAGCCACCAGUCUCAAGUCAGGCCGGCGCAGCGGGACGCUUUGAUUGGAGAUGUGGCGAGAGCGGCAAGAAGGGAGUCCAGGGCCGGCCGCGCUGACGUUAUUGACCAGACCCCCAACAACAGAGACAUGAUGGAUGUUAGCUUAAGAUAUUAAAAAGCUAUUAUGAGCAGUUUUAGGUAAGGACUCAUGGGGAUUUUGGCUGCAAAUACCAGAUGUCUGCUAUAUUCCCUAAUUUUUCUCAAGAAACCGGUUGAUGUAAAUACUUUGUAUCUAUCAAAGUAAUAACAGGUCCUAUUAAAAAGCAGAAAUACAAAAAUUGAAAUUUGUCCUCUUUGCCAUUUCGAAAUUAAAA